GGGCACAUGGUGUAGUUGGUUUAUCACGCCCGCUUAGCAUGUUCUUCGGAAUGGCGCAAAAUGCGGGAGGUGUCCGGUUCAAUUCCGGAUGUGUCCA
rnacentral:tRNA from 1 species